UACGGGGGGGGCAAGCGUUGUUCGGAAUUACUGGGCGUAAAGGGCUCGUAGGUGGCCAACUAAGUCAGACGUGAAAUCCCUCGGCUUAACCGGGGAACUGCGUCUGAUACUGGAUGGCUUGAGUUCGGGAGAGGGAUGCGGAAUUCCAGGUGUAGAGGUGAAAUUCGUAGAUAUCGGGAGGAACACCAGUGGCGAAGGCGGCGAUCUGGGCAGAUACUGACGCUGAUGUGCGAAAGCGUGGGGAGCAAACAGG
rnacentral:rRNA from 1 species